rnacentral:lncRNA from 1 species
AUAAGAAUGCUAAUUGGGCUUGGGAGUGCCUGGGUUAAACUGGGCGGGAACGAGCGAAUCCCUGACCCCGCCCACCUCAUUACUAUGCAAAUCUAUGCAAACGAGACGCAGAACCAACCGAGCCAGUUUCGUUCUCUCCUUUAUUAAUUAACCACAAUUAAUUAAUUAUUCGCGCCCCUCCCCCCCCCCGGGGGCGGGGCCUGCGCUCGGCCCCUCCCCCCCCUCCCGGCCUGCGGGAAAAGCCCCAAAAAUCCCCGAAAUUCCCCCAAAAAAACGACCCCAAAAACCCCAAAAUUUACACGGAAAAAAAGAGAAGCCACGCCCCUCCGCCUCAUUUGCAUAACCCGCUGCCGUCGGCCAAUCGGCGUCGGGAAGGGGCGGGGCCCGGCCCGCAGCACCAAUCGAUGAGGAAAGGGGCGUGGCCAUGCAAAUGAGGCCUGGCCAGGUGAGCCUGGGGGGGGUGUCUAUGCAAAUUGGGAGUUUCAAGGGCGUGUCUAUGCAAAUUGGGACUGUCUAUGCAAAUUAGGCCUGUCCAGGUGAGUCUGGGUGUGUGCCUAUGCAAAUUGGACGUGUCUAUGCAAAUUGGGAUGUCCAGGUAAGUCUGGGGGCGUGUCUAUGCAAAUGAGGAGUGUCCAGGUGAGUCUGGGGGCGUGUCUAUGCAAAUUGGGCAUGUCAGGGGCGUGUCUAUGCAAAUUAGGGUGUCCAUUGACAAAGGGGCGUGUCCAUGUGAGUCAGGUGGGCGUGUCUAUGCAAAUGGGGUGUCCAUUGACAAAGGGUUUAUCCAAUGACAAAGGGGCGUGUCCAGGUGAGUCAGGUGGGCGUGUCUAUGCAAAUGGGGUGUCCAUUGACAAAGGGUUUGUCCAAUGGCAGAAGGGGCGUGUCCAAUGA